rnacentral:lncRNA from 1 species
AUCCCCCCGUGUCCCCUCAGUGUCCCCCCAGUGUCAUCCCCAUUGUCACUCUGAUGUCCCCUCCGGUGUCCCCCACAGGUGUGACGUCACUGCUGGGGGCGGGGCUCUUUGUGGCCUCAGGGGGCGGGGCCAGCAUUGGGGGCCGUCCCGGGCACUGCCCAGCGCUGGCCGGGGUGGGCGGGGCCUUGGCUCUGGCCAGCGGGGGCGGGUACCUGCGGCUGCGGACACGGGAGUGACCACGCCCACCGGGACACGCCCACCGACCACGCCCAUCUGGGACACGUCCAUUGGACACGCCCAUUGGACACUCCUGCUGGAUGCACCCACUUGGGACACGCCCACUGGACAUACCCACCUGGAAUAUGGCCCUGGCCACGCCCACUGCCACACCCACUGCUGCGCCCACCCGGAACACACACAUUGGCCACACCCACUUUGGACACGCCCACUGACACGCCCAGUGGACACACCCACCUGGAACAUGCCUGUUGGUCACACCCAUUGGCCACGCCCACCCGGGACACACCCAUUGGACACAUCUACUGGACACACGCCCACUUGGCCACACCCACCUGGGGCACAUGCACCUGAGAUAUGCCCACUGGACACGCCCACUGGACAGCAACUGGCUCUGUCUGCUAGACACGCCCACCUGGGACACGCCCAUUGGACAUACCCAUUUGUCACACUCACUGGUCACACCCAUGGACACGCCCAUUGGCCACACCCACCUGUGACAUGCCCAUUGGGCACACCCACCUCGGACACGCCCACUGGACAAGGCCCCUCCCAUCCCAACCAAUGACACUCAAAUGACAUCAUCAAUAGUCAGAUGGUGAUGUCAUCACACCAUGUGACCACUGACGUCGUCAGCAUGGCCAAUGAGAGCUCGGAUGGUGCUGACAUUAUGACAUCAUCAACAAGAUGGCUGUAGCCAAUGACAUCUUCAGCAUGACCGAUGGCAUCAUCAGUGAGAUGGGCGUGGCCAGUGAUGUCAGCGUCGUCAUCGGCAGGCCCAGGGUGACCAAUGGCAAAACUGAUGUGGCCAGUGACGUCAUCAACGAGGUGGGCGUGGCCAGUGACAUCAGCAGCAAGGCAGGCAUGGCAAAUUACAUCAUUGAGUGACGGGAUGGGCGUGGCCUAUGAUGUCACUGCGGGUGUCAACAUGACCG